rnacentral:lncRNA from 1 species
AUGAGAUGGAAAUGCUGCUGGAAGCUGUAUGUGGGCAGCUGCAGUGAGACUUCUGUGUACCUGGCAAGAAAGGGGGUGCUGAGAUCUUCUUCAGGUCACUGUGUCCAGAGACGACAAAGGUCCAACAGCAGCUCCAUCACAGACUUCUCCCUCCUGACACUUGCAGAAACACGAGAGUUGCAGCUCCUGCACUUCCAGCUCUUCCUGGGCAUCUGCCUGAUUGCCCUCCUGGACUACAGCCUCUUCAUCACAGCUGUAGCCUGUGACCACCGCCUGGACUCCUCAACCUGGUCUGCAUCUCCUCCACUUGCCCCAAAGCCAUGGCCACUGCUCUCUUGGGCACCAGGAAUAUUUCAGGAUGUGUUGCCCAGGUCUUUCUCAUUUUCUUCUUGCUUACAGCACAGCACUCCCUUCUCACUGUCGUGUCACAUGAACGCUGUGGCCAUCUGCAAGCCUCCACACUGUGGGACUUUCCUGAGCUUGUGGCAAUAAGCACAAACUCCUGCCUUAGGGGAGUUUGAGCCAUUAUGACUGGCGUCUGUGUAGCAUUCGGGUGCUCUCUUUUUAUUCUGUUCUCCUCUGUGCAGAUCUUCUGUGAUGUGCUGGAGAUGUUCUCUGAGUACGGAUGACACAAAGCCUCCCUCACCUGGCCCUGCUCUCCCCGUUCAUCAGCACUGCUGUGUUUGCCUCCAUUAAGCCCCCCUCCAUCUCCACUCCGUCUCUGUAGCUGGUGGUGGCAGUUCUGUACUCAGUGGUGCCUCUAGCAAUGAAGCCCCUCAUAGACAGCGUGAGGAACCAGGAGCUCAGAGGUGCUCUUCAGAACGUGAUUUUACAGAUGUUUCGUAAUAGAGAUACCUUUAUCCUCUCCCUCCACAAGUGAUUUUUGAGGCAGACCUCAUCCUUAUUCCAUCAUCUUUAUUACAAUAGUUAUUGCCUACCUUUAUUGCCAUCAGCACGUACUGUGUUAUUAGAGAAAUGUUUGCAUUCAUUCUGCUUCUGCUGAGGAAUGAAACUACUCUGCUAGCUCCUGAGGCCGUGACAAACUCCAGGUCGGUGCUCUUAUCAUCUGCUUUAUUAAAUCUGAUCUCUACAACGUGCUGCCUGAAGACUUGGCUCUCCUUUCGGAGCUGGUGCCAACAACAGGGCUGAGCUGCUGCACCACAGAAAGUUUGUUGCUCCGUGGAUUUGGAAGAGAAAAAGCUCAUCACAGCACUGUGUGCUGUCAGACACUGAAGGUAGGAUUUAGGAGUAGUCUGUUGCUGCCCAGUAAUGGCAGAGAUGGUGAAUGGUCACUGAGGUGCAUCCUCGUGGCAGUCCCACGUGUGGCAGGACAGAAGAUAUCCACCAGGGAAGGAAUAUGGAGUUGUCUGGAGCUUCCAGGAGUUCUCUGUGGGCACUGUCUGCCAAGGAUGGGCAGUGACUGGAAGCCCACGAAGUGAGAGAUCAGUCCAGGUGGUUCCACUCAUAGGAUAGUGCCAUAGUAAGGUAUCCACAGGGAGAGAAGGACACUCAUUCCUUUGGGAUGGAAUGGAGUGGAUUAUUUUGUGGAUUAUCAGUGGAAUGGAGAGAGAUUAUUUUCAUUCCCAGGGAGAGAGACCUCCAGCUGCAGUCAGAAAUAUGCCUGGAAACUUGCAUCAUCCCUAGAAAGAUUCCCUCGCCUUUUAAAGCACUUGUAAUGACUGUCAAAGGAAGGAGGUUAGUAUUUGUGGCUGCAAACCAGUUGGGUCUACUUCUCAUGCUUUGUCGCAGCUGCCUGCAGGAGCGUUGAAAUUAUUUAGUUGAGUCUGAACUCGGGCUGUCCAGGAAGGCAAGAUUUCAGUGGGUCUAUCUUGGAUCUUCAGGUACAGCGUUCUCAGAGUCAACUUGCCUGUCUGACAUGAAGGGACUCCAGCACGGCCUGGCAGGAGGUCAUCAAGGAUCCCUGAAUAAAGAUUUCAGACAGCAGAGGAAGUGCA